rnacentral:rRNA from 1 species
AGUGAACGCUGGCGGUAGGCCUAACACAUGCAAGUCGAACGGCAGCACAGUAAGAGCUUGCUCUUACGGGUGGCGAGUGGCGGACGGGUGAGGAAUACAUCGGAAUCUACUUUUUCGUGGGGGAUAACGUAGGGAAACUUACGCUAAUACCGCAUACGACCUACGGGUGAAAGCAGGGGAUCUUCGGACCUUGCGCGAUUGAAUGAGCCGAUGUCGGAUUAGCUAGUUGGCGGGGUAAAGGCCCACCAAGGCGACGAUCCGUAGCUGGUCUGAGAGGAUGAUCAGCCACACUUGAACUGAGACACGGUCCAGACUCCUACGGGAGGCAGGAGUGGGGAAUAUUGGACAAUGGGCGCAAGCCUGAUCCAGCCAUACCGCGUGGGUGAAGAAGGCCUUCGGGUUGUAAAGCCCUUUUGUUGGGAAAGAAAAGCAGCAGGUUAAUACCCCGCUGUUCUGACGGUACCCAAAGAAUAAGCACCGGCUAACUUCGUG